AUGCGAUGAGCACAGCGUGACCACCCUGCAUGUCAGGUGCCUGCGCCAGGUCCCGUGAGGCCUCGUAGGGCUCGGGCAGUGGGCGGCCACGCCCGUCCAACACGGCAAUGGCCACCACAGGCGCCCGGUGCAUCAGCUGCACCUCCUUGCCCAGCACGGCCUCCACCGCUUGCUCAGGCCGCUUCUCACCACCCACUGCUGCUGCCGGCACCUCCAGUGCAUAGGCGAACACAGAGCCUGAGUUGGUGCCAGCCCACAUGGUGGGCCCGUGGUGGGCCCCUGCAGAAAACGAGCGCUGUGCUCCCUACGUGGCAGCCAGAGGAAGCCGCCAAGCCUGGGGACACCUAGGACGACCAUCCAUCGACCCUGCUCUGCCUGUGUGAACUGAACCUCUGGGUGACAAGCUUUAGUGGAGAAUCGGAGCCCAGCCCAGCAGAAGCAAGAGCAGACUCAGCACCUGCUCCCUGAUGACCCGAUGGAUCCUGAGGCAUUAAGUGUCUGCACAACUCAAAACAUGCCCAACAAGAACCCCAGCCGGCCAUGAACAUGAACCCAUCGGCCUUCUCGGGCCAGUGGAACAAGUUAAAAACCCCAGGCUCUCCUCUUCUAGGUCUUUGUAGUCAAAAAACACAAAAAGUCAAAGAACCCCCCACCCCCAGCUGUACCCGCCACAUCCAGACAGUGGGAAAAUCCACUGCACAAAGACCCUCGACAAAUAAAUGGCAUCAGAAAGCUGA